GAUGAACGCUGGCGGCGUGCCUAAUACAUGCAAGUCGAGCGAACGGACGAGAAGCUUGCUUCUCUGAUGUUAGCGGCGGACGGGUGAGUAACACGUGGAUAACCUACCUAUAAGACUGGGAUAAUUUCGGGAAACCGGAGCUAAUACCGGAUAAUAUUUUGAACCGCAUGGUUCAAAAGUGAAAGACGGUCUUGCUGUCACUUAUAGAUGGAUCCGCGCUGCAUUAGCUAGUUGGUAAGGUAACGGCUUACCAAGGCAACGAUGCAUAGCCGACCUGAGAGGGUGAUCGGCCACACUGGAACUAAGACACGGUCCAGACUCCUACGGGAGGCAGCAGUAGGGAAUCUUCCGCAAUGGGCGAAAUCCUGACGGAGCAACGCCGCGUGAGUGAUGAAGGUCUUCGGAUCGUAAAACUCUGUUAUUAGGGAAGAACAUAUGUGUAAGUAACUGUGCACAUCUUGACGGUACCUAAUCAGAAAGCCACGGCUAACUACGUG
rnacentral:rRNA from 1 species